UACGGAGGGGGCUAGCGUUGUUCGGAAUUACUGGGCGUAAAGCGCACGUAGGCGGCUUUGUAAGUUAGAGGUGAAAGCCCGGGGCUCAACUCCGGAAUUGCCUUUAAGACUGCAUCGCUUGAGUUGUGGAGAGGUAAGUGGAAUUCCCGGUGUAGCGGUGAAAUGCGCAGAUAUCGGGAAGAACACCCGUGGCGAAGGCGGCUCUCUGGAACGCAACUGACGCUGAGACGCGAAAGCGUGGGGAGCAAACAGG
rnacentral:rRNA from 1 species